rnacentral:rRNA from 1 species
ACGCUGGCGGCGUGCCUAAUACAUGCAAGUCGAACGCCUUGUCGCCUUAAUGAAUGGAGUGCUUGCACGAUAUGAUUUAAGACAAUGCAAGGAGUGGCGAACGGGUGAGUAACACGUGGGAAACCUACCUCUUAGCAGGGGAUAACAUUUGGAAACAGAUGCUAAUACCGUAUAAUACUAAAAACCGCAUGGUUUUUAUUUGAAAGAUGGUUCUGCUAUCACUAAGAGAUGGUCCCGCGGUGCAUUAGUUAGAUGGUGAGGUAAUGGCUCACCAUGACGAUGAUGCAUAGCCGAGUUGAGAGACUGAUCGGCCACAAUGGGACUGAGACACGGCCCAUACUCCUACGGGAGGCAGCAGUAGGGAAUCUUCCACAAUGGGCGCAAGCCUGAUGGAGCAACGCCGCGUGUGUGAUGAAGGGUUUCGGCUCGUAAAGCACUGUUGUAAGAGAAGAAUGUACUUGAGAGUAACUGUUCAAGUAGUGACGGUAUCUUACCAGAAAGGGACGGCUAAAUACGUGCCAGCAGCCGCGGUAAUACGUAUGUCCCAAGCGUUAUCCGGAUUUAUUGGGCGUAAAGCGAGCGCAGACGGUUAUUUAAGUCUGAAGUGAAAGCCCUCAGCUCAACUGAGGAAUUGCUUUGGAAACUGGAUGACUUGAGUGCAGUAGAGGAGAGUGGAACUCCAUGUGUAGCGGUGAAAUGCGUAGAUAUAUGGAGGAACACC